GGGUUGUGAGGUUAAGCGACUAAGCGUACACGGUGGAUGCCCUGGCAGUCAGAGGCGAUGAAGGACGUGCUAAUCUGCGAAAAGCGUCGGUAAGGUGAUAUGAACCGUUAUAACCGGCGAUGUCCGAAUGGGGAAACCCAGUGCAAUUCGUUGCACUAUCGUUAACUGAAUACAUAGGUUAACGAGGCGAACCGGGGGAACUGAAACAUCUAAGUACCCCGAGGAAAAGAAAUCAACCGAGAUUCCCCCAGUAGCGGCGAGCGAACGGGGAGCAGCCCAGAGUCUGAAUCAGCUUGUGUGUUAGUGGAACGGUCUGGAAAGUCCGACGGUACAGGGUGAUAGUCCCGUACACCAAAAUGCACAGGCUGUGAACUCGAAGAGUAGGGCGGGACACGUGGUAUCCUGUCUGAAUAUGGGGGGACCAUCCUCCAAGGCUAAAUACUCCUGACUGACCGAUAGUGAACCAGUACCGUGAGGGAAAGGCGAAAAGAACCCCGGCGAGGGGAGUGAAAAAGAACCUGAAACCGUGUACGUACAAGCAGUGGGAGCACCUUCGGGUGUGACUGCGUACCUUUUGUAUAAUGGGUCAGCGACUUAUAUUCUGUAGCAAGGUUAACCGUAUAGGGGAGCCGCAGGGAAACCGAGUCUUAACUGGGCGUUAAGUUGCAGGGUAUAGACCCGAAACCCGGUGAUCUAGCCAUGGGCAGGUUGAAGGUUGGGUAACACUAACUGGAGGACCGAACCGACUAAUGUUGAAAAAUUAGCGGAUGACUUGUGGCUGGGGGUGAAAGGCCAAUCAAACCGGGAGAUAGCUGGUUCUCCCCGAAAGCUAUUUAGGUAGCGCCUCGUGAAUUCAUCUUCGGGGGUAGAGCACUGUUUCGGCUAGGGGGUCAUCCCGACUUACCAACCCGAUGCAAACUACGAAUACCGAAGAAUGUUAUCACGGGAGACACACGGCGGGUGCUAACGUCCGUCGUGAAGAGGGAAACAACCCAGACCGCCAGCUAAGGUCCCAAAGUCAUGGUUAAGUGGGAAACGAUGUGGGAAGGCACAGACAGCCAGGAUGUUGGCUUAGAAGCAGCCAUCAUUUAAAGAAAGCGUAAUAGCUCACUGGUCGAGUCGGCCUGCGCGGAAGAUGUAACGGGGCUAAACCAUGCACCGAAGCUGCGGCAGCGACACUAUGUGUUGUUGGGUAGGGGAGCGUUCUGUAAGCCUGCGAAGGUGACCUGUGAGGGUUGCUGGAGGUAUCAGAAGUGCGAAUGCUGACAUAAGUAACGAUAAAGCGGGUGAAAAGCCCGCUCGCCGGAAGACCAAGGGUUCCUGUCCAACGUUAAUCGGGGCAGGGUGAGUCGACCCCUAAGGCGAGGCCGAAAGGCGUAGUCGAUGGGAAACAGGUUAAUAUUCCUGUACUUGGUGUUACUGCGAAGGGGGGACGGAGAAGGCUAUGUUAGCCGGGCGACGGUUGUCCCGGUUUAAGCAUGUAGGCUGGUUGUCCAGGCAAAUCCGGAUAAUCAAGGCUGAGGUGUGAUGACGAGGCACUACGGUGCUGAAGUAACAAAUGCCCUGCUUCCAGGAAAAGCCUCUAAGCAUCAGGUAACAUUAAAUCGUACCCCAAACCGACACAGGUGGUCAGGUAGAGAAUACCAAGGCGCUUGAGAGAACUCGGGUGAAGGAACUAGGCAAAAUGGUGCCGUAACUUCGGGAGAAGGCACGCUGGUGUGUAGGUGAAGUCCCUGCGGAUGGAGCUGAGACCAGUCGAAGAUACCAGCUGGCUGCAACUGUUUAUUAAAAACACAGCACUGUGCAAACACGAAAGUGGACGUAUACGGUGUGACGCCUGCCCGGUGCCGGAAGGUUAAUUGAUGGGGUUAUCCGUAAGGAGAAGCUCUUGAUCGAAGCCCCGGUAAACGGCGGCCGUAACUAUAACGGUCCUAAGGUAGCGAAAUUCCUUGUCGGGUAAGUUCCGACCUGCACGAAUGGCGUAAUGAUGGCCAGGCUGUCUCCACCCGAGACUCAGUGAAAUUGAACUCGCUGUGAAGAUGCAGUGUACCCGCGGCAAGACGGAAAGACCCCGUGAACCUUUACUAUAGCUUGACACUGAACAUUGAGCCUUGAUGUGUAGGAUAGGUGGGAGGCUUUGAAGCGUGGACGCCAGUCUGCGUGGAGCCAACCUUGAAAUACCACCCUUUAAUGUUUGAUGUUCUAACGUUGGCCCCUGACCGGGGUUGCGGACAGUGUCUGGUGGGUAGUUUGACUGGGGCGGUCUCCUCCCAAAGCGUAACGGAGGAGCACGAAGGUUAGCUAAUCCUGGUCGGACAUCAGGAGGUUAGUGCAAUGGCAUAAGCUAGCUUGACUGCGAGCGUGACGGCGCGAGCAGGUGCGAAAGCAGGUCAUAGUGAUCCGGUGGUUCUGAAUGGAAGGGCCAUCGCUCAACGGAUAAAAGGUACUCCGGGGAUAACAGGCUGAUACCGCCCAAGAGUUCAUAUCGACGGCGGUGUUUGGCACCUCGAUGUCGGCUCAUCACAUCCUGGGGCUGAAGUAGGUCCCAAGGGUAUGGCUGUUCGCCAUUUAAAGUGGUACGCGAGCUGGGUUUAGAACGUCGUGAGACAGUUCGGUCCCUAUCUGCCGUGGGCGCUGGAGAAUUGAGGGGGGCUGCUCCUAGUACGAGAGGACCGGAGUGGACGCAUCACUGGUGUUCGGGUUGUCAUGCCAAUGGCACUGCCCGGUAGCUAAAUGCGGAAGAGAUAAGUGCUGAAAGCAUCUAAGCACGAAACUUGCCCCGAGAUGAGUUCUCCCUGAGACUUUAAGUCUCCUGAAGGAACGUUGAAGACGACGACGUUGAUAGGCCGGGUGUGUAAGCGCAGCGAUGCGUUGAGCUAACCGGUACUAAUGAACCGUGAGGCUUAACCUUACAACGCCGAAG
rnacentral:rRNA from 2 species